rnacentral:rRNA from 1 species
GACGAACGCUGGCGGCGUGCUUAACACAUGCAAGUCGAACGCUGAAGCUUGGUGCUUGCACUGGGUGGAUGAGUGGCGAACGGGUGAGUAAUACGUGAGUAACCUGCCCUUGACUCUGGGAUAAGCCUGGGAAACUGGGUCUAAUACUGGAUACGACAUGUCACCGCAUGGUGGUGUGUGGAAAGGGUUUUACUGGUUUUGGAUGGGCUCACGGCCUAUCAGCUUGUUGGUGGGGUAAUGGCUCACCAAGGCGACGACGGGUAGCCGGCCUGAGAGGGUGACCGGCCACACUGGGACUGAGACACGGCCCAGACUCCUACGGGAGGCAGCAGUGGGGAACAUUGCACAAUGGGCGGAAGCCUGAUGCAGCGACGCCGCGUGAGGGAUGACGGCCUUCGGGUUGUAAACCUCUUUCAGCACGGAAGAAGCGAAAGCGACGGUACGUGCAGAAGAAGCGCCGGCUAACUACGUG